rnacentral:lncRNA from 1 species
AUGUCUGGUAUGCUAUUGUUUAGGCUAGCUAUCACUGUUUUUAUUCAAUGUAGAGUCCACAGCCCCUCUCAACAAAUCUUUAAUUGUCCUUUUGUUAUACCCCCUACAUAUGUGGAGACUUCAUCAAGAUUAACUGGUGUUUCCAGAGAUGUAAUCUCUCUUUUUAUUACCCAACAUUUAGGUUUACCGUCAUUGAACCCACAACUCACUAUUACCUUGCCAACAUAUUAUGCCUUCAAUUUAUUUGAUCAUGUUCAGAAUUCUGUUUCUAUUAUUCUAUGUACUCAAAGUAUUAGAAGACCAGUUUUGACAGUUUUCAGUCGGAUAGUUAUUUUACUUCUUCUGAGUUCCUCGGGUGAUGUAGAGUCAAACCCAGGUCCUAUUGCCCCCAGUAUCACACUGGCUCCCCAGGUGCUUUCUUUUGUUGAUUUUUGUAACCGUAAAAAUCUUGGUUUCCUGCAUGUCAACAUCAGAAGCCUCAUGCCUAAGUUAGAUUUAUUCACUGCUUUAGUACAUUCAACUAACCCUGAUGUUGUAGCCGUGUCUGAAUCUUGGCUUAGGAAACCCAUAAAAAAUUCUGAAAUUUCUAUUCCGAACUAUAAAAUUUUUCGUCAGGAUAGAACUACCAAGGGAGGUGGAGCUGUAAUCUAUGGCAGAGAUAAUUUGCAGAUUUCUGUUUUACUGUCCAGAUCUGUGCCCAAACAGUUUGAGCUUCUACUCUUAAAAGUCCAUCUUUCUAGAAAUGAGUCGCUCACUGUUGCUACCUGUUACAGACCUCCCUCAGCCCCCAGCUGUGCCCUGGAUGCUAUUUGUGAAUUGAUUGCCCCGCAUCUAUCUUCAGAGUUUGUGUUGCUGGGUGAUUUGAACUUGGACAUGCUUAAUGCACCGGCUGCUCUUCAAUCUAGGAUAGACGCUCUCAAUCUUAAACAAAUCAUCAAUGAACCCACUAGAUACAAUCCUAAAUCCGUAAAUGCGGGUACUAUCAUAGAUAUCAUUCUGACUAAUAUGCCCUCCAAUUAUACCUCCUCUGUUUUUAACCAGGAUCUGAGCGAUCACUGCAUAAUUGCCUGUGUUCGUAAUGGGUUUGUGGUCAAACGAUCACCCCUAAUAACUGUCAAACGUUCUUUAAAACACUUCUGUGAACAGGCUUUUUUAUUCGAUCUGUCUCGGGUACCUUGGAAUGGUAUCGAACUAAUUCCAUCAGUAGAUGAUGCCUGGUUUCUUUUAAAAAAAAACUUUUUUAACUAUAUUAAAUAG